AGGCAAUAUAGCUGGAUAAAGUAUCUUCGUCCAAGACCAAGAGAAACACAGUCAAUAGCAGGAAUGAUGAAAGGCAUCAAGCAAAGUGGGGAUGCAGAUGAGAAAACAAGAUCAGAAGACAGAAAUAUCUGAAACAAGUCACAAAUGCAUAGUAUGAGCUCUCAGUGAAUGUACAAGUUACAGGUGAAGUUAAGUGCUUUGCAGAAAGGAGCAUGAGUCUGUGAGAGGAACAGAGGACCAUAUGCUUACCUAGGAACCAAGGAAGACUUCCCUGAGAACUUAACCCUUGUUUGGACUCUAUUCUCUUUAUGCUAAGAAUUUUAAUAAGGAGCAGAUAAUAGACAUGAUCCAGUGCACAUUUUUAGAGGAAUAUCACGAGUCCUAUCCCUUCACCUUCUAAAUAUUUCUGAUAUCUGUUCCUUCUCCUCCAUCCUCAUGACCUUCACUGGCAUGGGCCUCCAUCAGCUCACUGUGGGGGAAGUUUCACUCAAGGGGCACUGAUAACACAUCUCAUUAAAACUAUACCACAUCAUUAUACCUCCCCAACAUAAUAUUUACAUGUAUUUAUUUGACUAUAUAUGGAUUACUAUCCUAUUUAUUACAUAUAUUAAGAGCAUACACAAAAAAUUAAAAAUCCAAAUGGUAAGAUUUUACAUUUUAGAUUUAUUUGAUAACAAUAUUUAUUCUAUUACUAAACAUAUAUUCCUAAUUGUCAUUAAGAUAUCAUGUUAGAAAAAUUUGCUCUACUAUACCAUAUCAUUUUUUAAAAUCUUAGUUUAAAACUCUGUAACACAGCAAUUAACAAAUCUACUUCCAAAUUUGGCUUAUUUUGAUUCUUUCAUUUAAUGACUUUCAUAGCUGAAAAAGGACCCCAUAGAGACCCAACAGAGGCAGUGCCCUAUUGGCUAUACCUCCCAAAUGAAGCCAUUUAUUUCUCAAUCUCAUUCACUAAUUUACAAAGAUUUACCUAUUUUUCAUUGUUAGUCUGCAAAUGUACACUUAAAUGAGGGUUAUCCUUAAUAAUCAGUAUGUGAAUAAGAACAUGACAUCUACCUUUGUGAAACUUGCACAUUACAGAAGCUCAAUAAAUAUUUGUUGAAUGAAUAAAUGAGUAAAUAGAAUAUUUUUACAAUUAAGUAGCUUUAAUUAUUUUAUAUUUAAAUUUCAAGUCUUUAGAGGAGAAGGAAUUGAAAAAAUAUGAAAUAUCAAAUAUACGUUUAGCUACAUUUUUAAAGGUUAGUAGCCUAUAUGCACAAAUCAAAUGAGUAGCAAUUUUUGGAGCUGUAACUAUUUUUGGAAUCUUGCGUGAAUAAAUUACAAUUUUAAAACAUCAAGAAUAAGUGCCCAUUGAAUGUCAUUUUUUAAAAGGAAAAAAGAAACCUCAGUCUCUAUUUAAAAAGUAACAUAUUUAACAGUUUUCUAGUUUAUGCAAAUUAUCUGGAAAACUCAGAACCCCAACCACCAAAAGAUUACCUUCCAUAACAGUAAGUGUGGAUUUGGCUUCUAGAAUCAUCUGGAUAAGUGCCAGCAUUCUCCAAGUCACAUUCUUGGUAUGAAAUGAACUUUUGUAAAUGGAGUCUAAUUAAAUCUUGUGCUAAAAAGAAGAGUUACAAAUUAAUUUAUUCUGUUGUGUCUCCUUUCAUUUUUAUAACAAUUAGUAUUUAGGAAUAAUAGUGUGGUUCAGAUAUUAACCGUUUUUGCAAUAUCAAUUUAAUAAUGAAGUCAACAAUUAUUUCUCUAUAUCCAAUGUUGUUACUCUGAUCAGAAAAGAAAUGUACUCGUCUCUCCUUUUCCUUUUCAGUGAUGGCUAGAUAACCAUCUUACAGAUUGGCAUUUUUCAUCUGUUUAUUUAUUUAUUCAUUUAUUCAGUGAAUGUAUUCCAAGCUAAUUCUUUUUGCAGCAUUCUUUAUCUGAUUCUUGUCUCCUCUGGGAACUUCCUCCUUAAUUUAUUUUUCGAUUCUGUAUUUUCAUCCUCUUUUCUGUUUACUGUAAAGUAGAGAAACCUCUCCUAUCAUUAAAAAAGAAAAAGAUGGGGAGAAGAGAGGAAAGGGGAGACAGGAAAAGAGAGGAAAUUUCCUUUUAUUUUAAAAUUUUCACUAACUAUAACUCUCAUCUUUCUUCUGUUUAAGAGCCAAGAUAGUCCAAAGAAUAAUUAAUAAUAUAUGUCUCUAAA